rnacentral:rRNA from 1 species
CGGUGUGCCUAAUACAUGCAAGUCGUACGCACUGGCCCAACUGAUUGAUGGUGCUUGCACCUGAUUGACGAUGGAUCACCAGUGAGUGGCGGACGGGUGAGUAACACGUAGGUAACCUGCCCCGGAGCGGGGGAUAACAUUUGGAAACAGAUGCUAAUACCGCAUAACAACAAAAGCCACAUGGCUUUUGUUUGAAAGAUGGCUUUGGCUAUCACUCUGGGAUGGACCUGCGGUGCAUUAGCUAGUUGGUAAGGUAACGGCUUACCAAGGCGAUGAUGCAUAGCCGAGUUGAGAGACUGAUCGGCCACAAUGGAACUGAGACACGGUCCAUACUCCUACGGGAGGCAGCAGUAGGGAAUCUUCCACAAUGGGCGCAAGCCUGAUGGAGCAACACCGCGUGAGUGAAGAAGGGUUUCGGCUCGUAAAGCUCUGUUGUUGGAGAAGAAUGUGCGUGAGAGUAACUGUUCACGCAGUGACGGUAUCCAACCAGAAAGUCACGGCUAACUACGUGCCAGCAGCCGCGGUAAUACGUAGGUGGCAAGCGUUAUCCGGAUUUAUUGGGCGUAAAGCGAGCGCAGGCGGUUGCUUAGGUCUGAUGUGAAAGCCUUCGGCUUAACCGAAGAAGUGCAUCGGAAACCGGGCGACUUGAGUGCAGAAGAGGACAGUGGAACUCCAUGUGUAGCGGUGGAAUGCGUAGAUAUAUGGAAGAACACCAGUGGCGAAGGCGGCUGUCUGGUCUGCAACUGACGCUGAGGCUCGAAAGCAUGGGUAGCGAACAGGAUUAGAUACCCUGGUAGUCCAUGCCGUAAACGAUGAGUGCUAGGUGUUGGAGGGUUUCCGCCCUUCAGUGCCGGAGCUAACGCAUUAAGCACUCCGCCUGGGGAGUACGACCGCAAGGUUGAAACUCAAAGGAAUUGACGGGGGCCCGCACAAGCGGUGGAGCAUGUGGUUUAAUUCGAAGCUACGCGAAGAACCUUACCAGGUCUUGACAUCUUGCGCUAACCUUAGAGAUAAGGCGUUCCCUUCGGGGACGCAAUGACAGGUGGUGCAUGGUCGUCGUCAGCUCGUGUCGUGAGAUGUUGGGUUAAGUCCCGCAACGAGCGCAACCCUUGUUACUAGUUGCCAGCAUUAAGUUGGGCACUCUAGUGAGACUGCCGGUGACAAACCGGAGGAAGGUGGGGACGACGUCAGAUCAUCAUGCCCCUUAUGACCUGGGCUACACACGUGCUACAAUGGACGGUACAACGAGUCGCAAGCUCGCGAGAGUAAGCUAAUCUCUUAAAGCCGUUCUCAGUUCGGACUGUAGGCUGCAACUCGCCUACACGAAGUCGGAAUCGCUAGUAAUCGCGGAUCAGCAUGCCGCGGUGAAUACGUUCCCGGGCCUUGUACACACCGCCCGUCACACCAUGGGAGUUUGUAACGCCCAAAGUCGGUGGCCUAACCUUUAUGGAGGGAGCCGCCUAAGGCGGGAC